rnacentral:rRNA from 1 species
UACGAACCGUCCAAACGUUAUUCGGAAUCACUGGGCUUAAAGAGUCCGUAGGCGGCUUAGAAAGUAGGGUGUGAAAUCCCACGGCUUAACCGUGGAACUGCGCCCUAAACUUCUAAGCUUGAGGGAGCUAGAGGUAAGCGGAACUGAUGGUGGAGCGGUGAAAUGCGUUGAUAUCAUCAGGAACACCGGAGGCGAAGGCGGCUUACUGGGGCUUUUCUGACGCUGAGGGACGAAAGCUAGGGUAGCGAACGGG